GAUGAACGCUGGCGGCGUGCCUAAUACAUGCAAGUCGAGCGAACAGACGAGGAGCUGGCUCCUCUGACGUUAUCGGCGGACGGGUGAGUAACACAUGGAUAACCUACCUAUAAGACUGGGAUAACUUCGGGAGACCGUAUCUAAUACCGGAUAAUAUAUUGAACCUCAUGGUUCAAUAGUUAAAGACGGUUUUGCUGUCACUUAUAGAUUGCUACGCGCGGCAUUAGUUAGUUGUUAAGGUAACGGCUUACCAAGGCAACGAUGGGAAGCCGACCUGAGAGGGUGAACCGACAGCGUGGCAGUGAGAAACGGCAGAGACACUGAGGGGAGGCAGCAGUAGGGACUCUUCCGAGAUGGGCGAAAGCCUGAUGGAGCAACGCCGGGUGAGUGAUGAAGGUCUUCGGAUGGUAAAACUCUGUUAUUAGGGAAGAACAAAUGUGUAAGUAACUAUGAACGUCUUGACGGUACCUAAAGAGAAAGCCACGGCUAACUACGUG
rnacentral:rRNA from 1 species